AUUUAUGAGUAUGAUGUUCACACAUUUGUGCAUCAUCCUCAUGCAGUGGCCGCCCUAAUUGUCCCUGUAUUGUUGCAGGUUAGUGUGUUUGCUGCUGAAAUGAACUUUUUGUUGUUUUUUCGAGAUAGCUUCUCACUAUGGAGCUCUGGCUAUCCUGGAAUUCACUAGAUACUAGACCAGGCUGGCCUUGAAUUUAGAGCAGUCUGCCUGCCUCUGCCUCUCGAGAGCUGGAAAUAAAGGUGUGCCAGUACUUAUGGCUUAAAUUGAACUCUUUAUAAAAUUGUUCUUAGCAGAUUUGGUUUUAUGUGCAUGCGUUUUGUUUGCACGCCUAUUUGUGCUGCAUGUGUUUGCAGUGCCCUUGGCCAGAAGAGAGCGUUAGAUUGGAAGGAGGAACUGGAAGUGGAAGUGUAGAUGACUUUGAGCCAUCAUGUGGGCCCUGGGAACUGACCCUGGACCCUCUGGAAAAGGAGCCAUCUCUCCAAGCUCCCCUCCCACUACCUUUGACACAGUAUCUCCUGUAACCUAGGCUGGCCUCAAACUUGUUAUGUAGCUGAGGAUUGCUUUGAACUCUUGAUCUUCCUACCUUCCUUGUGCAGAGAUACCAUGUGUGGGCCACUGUGCUUGUAUUUCUUAUAUGAUUACUUUUUUAAAAUAAUUUUUUAAAAGAUUUAUUUAUUUAUGUAAUGUAUAUGAGUACAUUAUGAGUACUGAUGGUUGUGAGCCAUCAUGUGGUUGCUGGAAAUUUGAUUUCAGGACCCCGCUUGCUCUGGCCUAAAGAUUUAUUUAUUAUAUGUACAUACACUGAGGCUGUCUUCAGACACACCAGAAGAGGAUGUCAGAUCUCAUUACGGAUGGUUGAGAGCCACCAUGUGGGUGCUAGGAUUUGAACUUAGGACCUUCAGAAGAGUAGUCUGUGCUCUUAACCGCUGAGCCAUCUCUCCAGCCCUUAUGAUUACUUUUUAAAGUUGCUGUGUGAGUGGAUUUCAUUAUGGCACUUGUCAUACAUGUCUGUUGUGUUUUGUUCUGGCUCAUUCCCUUCUUUCACUACCCCCCCCCCCCCCCCCCCCCGCAAUUCUUCUUAUCUGAUUUUACUGCCUGGCUCCCUUUUUUCUUUUCUUUUUUCUGUCUCUGUGUAGUUUUAGCUGUCCUGGAACCUUGUCUGUAGACUGUAGAUAGGCUGGCCUCCCACUCUGAGCCCUGCCUGCCUCUGCCUCUGUUUCCCAAGUGCUGGGAUUAGCUUAGUUAUAAUUCAUUAAAAGAGGGAAUAUAAGUGAAAUGACUUGAGAAAACUUGUGACCACACAGCUGAGGAUUAAUUUUUUAAUUAAACAUUUUAUUUUGAGAACUAAGAAAUUUAUACACAGUUAUACGAAAUAUGAAAGGAAGAAAGUGUGCUGGUACAUCCCUCAAGUCCCCGUACUUUGGAGGGCAGGAGAAGCAGCCCAGUGUCUGUCAUCCUCAGUGACUUAACUUCCAGGCCAGCCUGGACUACUGGGGACUUGGUCUCAAAUUGAGAAAACG
rnacentral:lncRNA from 1 species